rnacentral:lncRNA from 1 species
CAAAUUUCACCAGAAACAGCACCUUUGAAUCAAACCUCAAUCGUCUCCUCACUUCUCUUCCCACUAACGCCAGCCGUGGGAAUGGAUUCUCCAGGGGUUUCUUCAACGCCACCGCUGGCCAAGACCCAAACAGGGUCUACAGCCUCUUUCUCUGCCGCGGUGAUCAAACUACCGACAUCUGCCAAAACUGUGUCACUUUUGCUACCAGAGAUGUAAUUCGGCUUUGCCCAGUUAGCAAAGACCCCAUAGUAUGGUACGAUGAGUGCCUUUUACGUUACUCAAAUAAGUAUAUUUUUUCUACCAUCGAGACGACGCGCACUGUCUAUUUGUGGAAUACUCAAAACGCAACAGACCCCGUCAAGUUUAACGAUCUAGUGGGGUCUUUGAUGGGUGAAGCUGCAUCCCAGGCAGUGAAUGAUCCCAAAAAGUUCGCUACAAAAAUGGCAAAUUUCACAUCCUUUCAAAAACUUUACGCACUUGCACAGUGUACACAAGACCUGUCAAGUUCUGAUUGUAACAAAUGUCUUCGAGGAGCGAUUGCCCAGUUGCCGACUUGUUGUGGUGGAAAGCAAGGAGGACGAGUGUUGACUCCGAGUUGCAUUGUCCGGUAUGAAGUGUACCCCUUUUACAAUGAACCAGCGACCCCGGCACCGGCACCUACUCCAGUUCUUCUUUCUCCUCCACCUCCUAGUUCGGUAAUCAGGCCUCGUGGUAAAGUUCAACCCACUUUCUAACACCAUUUCUUUCAUUAUUUUAAGCAAUGCUUUUUCGUUUGCUUUUGACUUUUCAGGGAUCGAAGAUAUUGAUACAUAUAUUUUUUUAUAAUUCCAAGGGAAACGCACCAGAAAAAUUUUAUAUAUUUGGUGUUGGACUUUUGUUUAUUCUAUUGAAAUUUCGGCUAAGAAGUAACCCAACACUUACAAACUAGCCUUAUCUCUAAACUGACACUUUUUAAAAGUUGGAUUUACAUUGAUUUUGUAAUCAAAGUGUCUGAUGACUUUAACCAUUAAAAACAAUGUUCGGUUUGGAUGUUUAAUUAUUCAAUUUGAUAUUUCACAGUCAUGAAUUUCUAGCAUGCCCAAUGAAACAUAUUGCUUUUUCCUGCAGGGAAAAGCGGAAUCUCAUCAUCAACAAUUAUUGCCAUCGUGGCUCCAAUUGCUGUCGCAGCAGUGCUUUUUGUUGCGUGCUUAUGCUUCCUAAGAAGGAGAGCAAAAAAGAAAUAUAAUGCUAUGCCGGAAGAAAAUGGUAAGCACGAGAGCUACAUUAUUACUAAAUCAGACAAUUUUUUAACAAGAGCAUGCACACAUACAAAUUGUUGCUACUUUUUUGAAGAGUAAAUAAAUUACUGUUUUGUGCAGCUGAUAACGAUCUUACAAUUCUAGAAUCCUUGCAAUUUGAUUUCGAGACAAUUGAAGUUGCCACAAACAAAUUCUCAACUGAUAACAAGUUGGGUGAAGGUGGAUUUGGUGAGGUUUAUAAGGUAUACCAUUGAUUAUCAUGACAUCUCUGGAAAUUUUUACCGGUUGCAAGAGGUUACACAAUACAAAUUUUGUAAUUGUUGAUUAAUGUAUAUUUGCAGGGUGUGCUUCCUAGUGGACAAGAAAUAGCCGUGAAAAGGCUAUCAGCAAGCUCAGGACAAGGUGCACAAGAAUUUAAGAAUGAGGUCGUUUUGGUUGCCAAGCUUCAACACAGAAAUUUGGUUAGGCUACUGGGAUUUUGCUUGGAGGGAGAAGAAAAGAUACUUGUCUACGAAUUUGUGCCAAACAAAAGCCUUGACUAUUUUCUUUAUGGUUAGGAUGAUUCACAUAAAUUUCAAUGUCUUAAAAGAGUUGAAUAUUCAAGACUUUUGAAUAGAUUGUUCGAGUUUUUAUCCGUCUUUUCAAGAUUGAUAGAAUUUCUGGAUUGCAUUUAAAUUCAAUUUCCGAAUUUCAAUUUGAAAUAUUGAUUUUGAUAUGUGCAGACCCUGAAAAACAAGGACAAUUGGAUUGGUCAAGGCGCUACAAGAUAAUUGGAGGGAUUGCUAGAGGAAUUCUUUACCUUCACGAAGAUUCUCGACUCAGAAUUAUACAUCGUGACUUGAAAGCUAGCAAUAUACUCUUAGAUGCAGAGAUGAAUCCAAAAAUUUCAGAUUUUGGCAUGGCAAGAAUAUUUGGAGUUGAUCAAACUCAAGGAAAUACUAGCAGAAUAGUGGGGACAUUGUAAGUAUAGACAACUAUUACCCUUUUUCACAUACUCUCCUUCUGAUUAGUUUACAAUUUAUGCAUUACAUCCUCUAGCAGAACCAUUUAGUCUGGAUUAUAAAUAAAUUGUAUAGAGUUAUUUGAAUAAUUUCAAAAGAUUUGUUGUUGUCUUUAGAUUGACUUAGUUGCUGGUUUACAGUGGUUACAUGGCCCCAGAAUAUGCUAUGCAUGGGCAAUUUUCUGUGAAAUCAGAUGUAUAUGGUUUUGGUGUCCUAGUCCUGGAGAUUAUAACUGGCAAGAAGAACAGCAGCUUUUAUCAAACAGAUGGUGCUAGAGAUCUUUUGAGCUAUGUAAGCAUUUCCCUUUAUUAGUGCCUAUAUCAUGGCACAAAAGUAAAAGCACUAAAAAAGAGGUAGAAACUGCAACCUUUUUUAAUAUACUUGAUAUACUGUUUGCAGGCUUGGAAACAAUGGAGGGAUGGAACACCUUUGCAGUUGUUGGAUCCAAAUCUGACAGAUUCUUACUCAAGAAAUGAAGUGAUUAGAUGCAUCCAUUUGGGCUUAUUAUGUGUCCAGGAAGAUCCAGCUGAGAGGCCAUCAUUGGCAACAAUAGUUCUCAUGCUCAAUAGUUACUCUGUCACACUUCCGUCGCCUCAACAGCCUGCAUUUUUCAUAGGCAGUCGAACUGAGAGGAGCUUGCCCACAAAAGAAUUUGAGUUCUCUGAUAAAUCUACAAGCAAGUCGAUGCCAUGGUCUGUUGAUGAAGCAUCAAUUACUGAAGUAUACCCCCGUUAACUUGUAAAAAUUGUUGACGAUGCUUCUUCUUUAUGUUAGUAUAUGUUCUCCCCAAGGGGAGUGCUGGUACAUUACGAGGGAGAAUGACAUGGUUUAUGACAAGCAAUAAUGAUAAAGAGGAGGCGCCCUUCAAAUUGAAUGGCGCCGCGUUACAUUUUCCAAAGUUUUUAUUUGUUGAAGUAUAUGAUUAUUGUAUGGAUGAGUAACGAUGCAACGUUGGGAAAUCAAAUAUUCCAUUACGGUGUCGUUUGCGUUUAGUGUCGUCCGGUUAGUGUUUGCUGGGUCCGGACUCCGGAGCCCAAUUUUCCAUUACGAUGUAGUUUGUGUUCUAUGCCGUAAGCAUCCAGUUCUGUCUGAGUCUUCAAUUUUUUCUUUUUCCCCUGAAAAUUGUCUCAAUCUAUUUAAUUUAGUGAAAAUUUCAACAAAAUUUGACUGAGAUUUUCCGUCUUUCGUGCUUGACUUCCCUUUUAUUGACUUUGCGUGGACAGGUCUCCUCUGCAAUAAUCAACUUCCGCAUCUUCACCACGCGUUUCAACUUUCAAACAAAGUUGUUUGAUCAAUCUCAUCGCCAUUCACCAACAAUAAUACUUAAUAAAUGAACAGAGAAAUUAAAAGCAAUAAAAAAUAAAAAAAGAGGAAGAUAGACGAUCAUCACAUAUGUAUAUCCGUAGUACUAAGAACUAUUUAUUGUAUUCAUUCCCGGGUGAGGUCAGCCUGAGGCUGAAAGCGAGAAUCCAAAUGCGUUCCUUCAAAUUAUUCAUUUUCUUUCCGUUUCUGUCUUUUGUAAGCAUUUUUCUCAGAUUCACAACUGCAGCUGACCCAGAAUACCUCGCUCAUAAUUGCCCAAAUACAACAACUUUCAGCAGGAACAGGACUUCUCAAUCCAACCUCCACCUUUUCUUCUCUUCUCUGCCCACUAACGCCAGCCGCAGCAACGGAUUCUUCAGCCGUUUCUACAACGCCACAGCAGGCCAAGACUCUGACAGAGUCUACGGCCUCUUCCUCGGCCGUGGCGAUCUUGGCAGCAGCGCCUGCCAAGGCUGUCUCGCUUUUGCUGCCAGAAAUGUUAAUAUCAAAAUUUCCUUCUUCCUUAUGUUGCAAAGUCCCUAAAUAUCAACUCUUCUAACAUAUAACCCCUUUUUGUUUUGUUUUGUCCAAUUUCAUUCAUUUACUAUGGCAAAUCGAUAAAUUUGCCACCUAAUUUAUAUCGAAAGUUCAAUUUGAUACCAAAGAAUUUUGAUAAUAGCUCUCUGUACCACCGAACCUUUUUUUUAUGUUAACAUCGUUAGGCAAAGGUUGAUGUCGCAGGGGCAAUUUCGGUAUUUCAAAAUUUGGUUUCAUCUGGUAAAAAGGGACGCCUCUUUAUAAAUCAAAACGGUCAAUGAUGGUGAGUCAAAAAAAGAAAAAAGGGCCAAUGAUGGUUUGAUAUAAAAUGAAAAAGUUGAGUGCUACAGAGAAAUUGAUAAUUUCCUAAUCAGAAAAUACAUAUGUAAUUACUAUUAUUAAAUUUAACAUUGUAGUUGAUAUGUAUUUUGAGAAACAAACUUCAUUCUAAUUGUUCUUUUAACAUUCAUAUUCAUAUCGAUAAAGAAAAAACUAUAUCUAUAUCAAUUUUAAUAAAUGUUAAAAGAACAAUUAAGAUGGAAUUAGUUUCUUAAAAUAAUUAUUUUUUUGAAAUUUAAUUGUAAUUGAUAUGUAUUUAUUAAAAUUGGUAUAAAUAUAAUUGUUAAAAGAACAAUUAAGAUGAUUUUUUUUUUAAAUAAAAAUUUUCAGAAUUUUUAAAAUUAAUAAUAUUAAAAUUUAGCAGCGGAUCAAUGGGUGACACAUGUCUGCCCCUAUUGAAUGUUAAAUUAACUUUAAUAAAUAUAUAUUCAUAUUUAAAGACUUUAACUAAUAACAUAAAUAAAAUUAUAUGAAAACUUAAUCGUAUAAUUUCAUAUUGGGCGUAGUAGGGGCAAUUUCAUAUAUAACUAUUUUUGUUACUUUUUUUCCAUGUAAGUGGAUAAAUUGUCCUUAUAUAUAUUUAAAUAAUUCCUAUAAUAAAAUUGUCCUAUGUAAAGUAUAUGUAAACUAUUUUAUCACUUUUUAAGUGGUAAUUUGAUAUAACAAUUUGGGUGUUGGAGUACGUUUUUGUAGGUACCCCGCAUCAUUAAAGCUUAUCCAAUGAGGAAAGAAGAUAAUUUUUGUUGUGAAGGAAAAAGUCCACUUUCACAAAUGCAUUUUCAAAUUUAUCAAAAGCUAAUCAUUCAUAUAUAUUCUAAAGCAAAUAACACAAAUCAUUUGAAAAUAUCAAAGACAUGCUUAAUAUUUUGGAGCAACUUAAUUAUUGAAAUUGGAAGAGAGAGUGAUUCUGGGGUUUUCACUUUUCAUCCACCUCUCUAUAGGUGAAAAUCGCGCAACUCAAAUGUUUAUUUGUCCUUCAAACUAAUUUCACAGUGGCUCUUGUGAGUUGUGAUAGGAUAAGUGGCGUUCAAAUAGCUGUACUCUUUCAGUUUGCAAGUGUACCCAUCAUUUAAGCCCAGCCCGGCCCAUUUAUACCCAACAUAAUGGGCUGCUUAUGAAAUACUCUCCUAUAAUUCUGUUGAAGUAAGAACCCCAUCAUUGUUUUCUGAACCUCGUUUCCUGCAAAAAUCAAUUACGCAAACAAUGCCAUUAAAAUAGUAGCAAUAAACUUUUCAAAGAAUGUACACGGGAAUCGGACUAGAUCAUGACAUUGUAGUGAAACAUGCGAUUUGGCUAAUUGGCUUCAAGAAGAUACGAAACGAUGACUUUUAAACUCUUCAAUUUGAAGAAUUUUCAAAUAAUAUUUGAAAGGUAUAAUAUUUAAUUAAUACAUAUAUAACAUGUAUAAUUUACUUAAAUAUAAUUUUCAAUUAUAUAAUAAUAUCCGUUCAUCAUUGUCUCCUUUUAUAUGUAGUACCGAACAAGUUAAGGAAGUCAUGUUCAUGCCCAACCUAGUUUUGAUCCAUCAGCAUUUUACGCAUAAUUAAAGGACAAAAUACUCCCUGGAAAAUAUAUUCAUAAUAGACAGCUAACAUGAGACUUGGCUAUGUUGCAAUUGUAGUAUCAUACUAUAGUUGCAAUCAGUCAUUGGAUCCACUUAAAUCUACUAUUGUACCAUUCAUCUAAGUGAAUUUAAUAGAUGGUUGUAACUGUGGCACGGUACCACAAUUACAAUAUAAUCAAACCCGCUAACAUGUAUCUCUGACGUCACGAAUUGACUUCUGUCUUGAUCAAUUUAAUGUUUUUUUUUUUCCUUCAACUAACUUUCCACAAAUUCUUCAAUCACAAAAAAAUAAAAAUAAAAUAAGAGUUCCAGAAUUUCAUUUGAUUGAGGCUUUGCGACUUUUUUUCUCCGGGUGAUUGGAAGCAAAACAAGUAAUUAAUUGGAACGGGACGAGCUUGACUUCACUUAGUUGACUUUGUGCAGACGAGUCCCGUUUCCGACGCAACUUUUGCAGCUUCCACUACUCGUUUCUUCAUUAUAUUUGAUAAAAUCUCGUCUCCAUAAUUAAUAAAAUAAAAGGUAGAAUAAAAAGCAAUAAAGAGGAAGAAGAGAUAGAGGAUUGUAUUUGUAAUCCACAGUACGCAACAAAAACCUGAGAUUCCAAAUGCCGCCCUUGAAAUUCUUCAUGGUCUUUUCGUUUCUCAUAUAUCUUUUAAGCUUCCAGUUCAGUUUUACAGCUGCAGUUGUCCCAAUAUACGCUACUCAUGUUUGCUCAACAACAGCAAAUUUCACCAGAAACAGCACCUAUGAAAAAAGCCUCAAUCUUUUCCUCUCUUCUAUUCCGACUAACGCCAGCCGCGGAAAUGGAUUCUCCAGCGGAUUCUUCAACGCUACAGCCGGUCAAGACCCAAACAGGGUCUAUGGCCUCUUUCUCUGCCGCGGGGAUCAAACUACCAGCGGUUGUCAAGACUGUGUCACCUACGCUACAAGAAAUGUACUUCAGCUUUGCCCAGUCAGCAAACAAACAACACUAUGGUACGCUGAGUGCCUUUUACGUUACUCAGAUCAGUCUUUCUUUUCUACCAUGGCCGCAGCUCCCACUGUCUCUUUGUUGAAUACAGAAAAUGUUACGGACCAAGGCAGGUUUAACGAGCUAGUGGGGACUCAGAUGAGCCAAGCUGUAACUCAGGCUGUGAAUAAUACCAAAAGGUUUGCAACGAGAAAAGCAAAUUUCACAGCCUCUCAAACACUCUACAGUCUUGCACAAUGUACACCGGACCUGUCAAGUUCGGCUUGUAACAGAUGUCUUCGAGAAGCCAUCGCACGGUUGCCAAUUUGUUGCAGUGGAAAGCAAGGAGGAAGAGUGUUGACUCCGAGUUGUAAUGUAUGGUAUGAAUUGUACCCUUUUUACAAUGAAUCAGCCACAGCGCCGCCAGCACCUGCUCCGGUUCUUCUUUCUCCUCCACCUCCUGGUUCGGUAACGACGUCUCGAGGUAAAUGUGAACCCACUUUUUAUUGCCAUUUUCAUUAUUUUAAGUUUUAUAUGCUUUAUCGUUUUCUUUUGAGGGGUCUGUCAAUGAUACAUCUGGAAGUUAUGAUUUUAAGUGAAAGGCAACCAGAUUUUAGGCUCCUUUUGGUAUUAAGCUACAGUUAAAGUGUUUGAUGAAUACUUUAUGUGGUGAUUUUGAAUUCAAGUUAAUUUUAUUCUACACUUAUCUUAUUUAAAAUUUAUACAUAUUACUAUACUUUUAACUUUUAUUUUAUAAAAGCCACUAAACUUUAGUCUUCACAAUUGUGAGGUCAUGAGUUCGAAUCCCUACAACGCAUUGUGGGGGUUUAAUUUCUUUCCUCAAAUUUGAGUGAAGGUAGAGUGGAGUAGACGUCCCUCGAAUAUCAGAGAGGGUAAAAAUUUAGGCAUGCUUCAUAAGAAUCGAUGUAAACUAGUCCCAGUAAUAAUCUGAUUUGUAAAUACAAUCAGUUGUAAUAUCAUGUAAUAUGAGUUGUACGCCGGAUCAAUAGUUUCAUGUAAUAAAAAAAAAAUUAUUUUAUAAUUAUAAUUUUUUUCCACUGUAACUCACUACUAAAUAGGGAGGACCUUAAAAAGUUGGAUUGAUAUUGAUUCAUAAUAUACGUGAUUGAUGAUUUUAACCAUUUAAAACAAUGUUUGUUCUAGUUUGUUCUAGAUAUUUAACAUUCAAUAUGAUAUUUCACAUUGAUGAAUUUCUAGGAUGCCUAAUGAAACAUAUUGUUUUUCCCUGCAGGGAAAAGCGGAAUCUCAUCAUCAACAAUUAUUGCCAUUGUUGCUCCAAUUGUUGUCACUGCAGUGCUUUUCAUUGUGGGCUUCUGCUUCCUAAGAAGGAAAGCAAAAAAGAAGUAUAAUGCUGUACCGGAAGGUAAUGGUAAGCACAAGAGCUACUUUAUUACCAAAUCAAUAGUUGUAACUUUUAACAAGAGUAUGUACGCAUACAAUUGUUGUAACUUUUUUGUGAGACUGAUUUAAUUACUUUUUGUUUGUGCAGCUGAUAACGAUCUUACAACUCUAGAAUCCUUGCAAUUUGAUUUCGAGGCAAUUAAAGUUGCCACAAACAAAUUCUCAACUGACAACAAGUUGGGUGCAGGUGGAUUUGGUGAGGUUUAUAAGGUAUACCAUUCAUUAUCAUGACAUCUCUGAAAGUUUUUAGCAGUUGCAAGACACGUCACAAAUUUUCUAAUUGUUGAUUAAUGUAUCUUUGCAGGGUGUACUUCCUAGCGGGCGAGAAAUAGCUGUGAAAAGGCUAUCAAAAAGCUCUGGACAGGGUGCAGAAGAAUUUAAGAAUGAGGUCGUUGUGGUUGCCAAGCUUCAACACAGAAAUCUGGUUAGGCUACUGGGAUUUUGCUUGGAGGGUGUAGAAAAGCUACUCAUAUACGAAUUUGUGCCAAACAAAAGCCUUGACUAUUUUCUUUUUGGUUAGGAUCAUUUACAUAAAUUUCAAUGUCUUAAGAGAGUUUAAUAUUCAAGAUUUUUUAAUAGAUUAUUUGAGUUUUUAUCCAUCUUUUCAGGACGGACAGAAUUUCUAGAUUGCAUUUAAAUUCAAUUUCCAAAUUUCAAUUUGAAGUAUUGAUUUUGAUAUGUGCACAGACCCUGAAAAACAAGGACAAUUGGAUUGGUCAAGGCGCUACAAGAUAAUUGGACUGAUUGCUCGAGGAAUUCUUUAUCUUCACGAAGAUUCUCGACUCAGAAUUAUACAUCGUGACCUGAAAGUUAGCAAUAUACUCUUAGACGCAGAGAUGAAUCCAAAAAUUUCAGACUUUGGCAUGGCAAAGAUAUUUGGAGUUGAUCAAACUCAAGGAAAUACUAGCAGAAUAGCUGGGACAUAGUAAGUAUAGACAACCAUUCCCCUUUUUUACAUACUCUCCAUUUGAUUAGUUUACAAUUUAUGCAUUAUAUCCCCUAGGAGAACCAUUUAGUCUGGGUUAUAAAUAAAUUGUAUAGAGUUAUUUGAAUAAUUUCAAAAGAUUUGUUGUUGUCUUUAGACCGACUUAGUUGCUGGUUUACAGUGGUUACAUGGCCCCAGAAUAUGCUAUGCAUGGGCAAUUUUCUGUGAAAUCAGAUGUAUAUAGUUUUGGUGUCCUAGUUCUGGAGAUUAUAACCGGGAAGAAGAACAGCAGCUUUUAUCAAACAGAUGGUGCUAGACAUCUUUUGAGCUAUGUAAGCAUUUCCCUUUAUUAGUGCCUAUAUCAUCACUCACAAGUAAAAGCACCAAAAAAGAGGUAGAAGCUGCAACCUUUUUUAAUAUCCCUCAUAUACUGUUUGCAGGCUUGGAAACAAUGGAGGGAUGGAACUCCUUUGCAGUUGUUGGAUCCAAAUCUGACAGAUACUUACUCAAGAAAUGAAGUAAUUAGAUGCAUCCAUUUGGGCUUAUUAUGUGUCCAGGAAGAUCCAGCUGAAAGGCCAUCAAUGGCAACAAUAGUUCUCAUGCUCAAUAGUUACUCUGUCAUACUUCCAUCGCCUCAACAGCCUGCAUUUUUCAUAGGCAGUCGAACUGAGAGGAGCUUGCCCACAAAAGAAAUUGAGUUCUCUGAUAAAUCUACAAACAAGUCGAUGCCAUGGUCUGUUGAUGAAGCAUCAAUUACUGAAGUAUACCCCCGUUAACCCGUAAGAACUGUUAACAAUGCUUCUUCUUUGGAUUGUAUAUGGUCUACCCAUGGGCAGGGCUAGUACAGUGUGGGGGAGAAUAACAUGGCUUAUGACAAGCAAUAAUGAUAAAGAGGCGGUGCCCUUCAAAUUGAAUGGUGCCGUGUUACAUUUUCCAAAGUUUUUAUUUGUUGAAGUAUAUGAUUAUUGUAUGGAUGAGUAAAGAGACAACGUUGGGAUAUCAAAUUUUCCAUUACGAUGUAGUUUGUGUUCUAUGUCGUCUGGUUAGUGUCUGCUGGGUCGGGAGCCCAAAGUUCAGUGAAGUUAUUCAGUGAUAAAACGGCUUGGCCAGUAUCGAUUUAACAUCUUCAUGGUUUUAAUUUAAAUUGUUCUUUGGGUCUUGUGCUAUGUUUUUACCUUUUAUAUGUAAAAGGAUAGAAUCAAUCUCCUCCUUAAAUUAAGAUGAUUCACAUGAUUGUGCUUGACUUUAGGAGUAAUCUCUGCAAUUCUAUAGACUAAGGAAUCCUCUGUAACUUUCCUUUUUCAGCUUCAUGAACUUGUAUAUAUAAUUGCUUGGCUUUACAGUAAUAUAUUAAUCCUUUUCACAAUCUCUGUCUCUGACUUUAUAUGGUAUCAGAGCAAGCUAUUACUCACACGAGUCAUUGAUCCUUGUCUUAAUCUCUUCUUUAUACUUCCACCAUGACCAACAAAUACUCAACAGCUUCUUCUUCAAAUCAAACAACUACCAACAUCUCCCUAAACCCAAACAACCUUAUAGCCAUCAAUGUAGCCAACCAACUUCCUUUAAAGUUGACUCCUUCGAAUUAUUACUCAUGGAAAUCACAGUUCGAUGCCUUGCUCUAUGGGUAUGAUUUAGUUGGGUAUAUUGAUGGAACAAAUCCUUGCCCUCCCUCACAUAUUGAGAAUGAUGGCAAUAAAGUCUCAAAUCCUGAGUAUAUUCUUUGGACAAGACAAGAUAAACUCCUUUUGCUCGGCAUAAUUGGCUCUCUUAGCCACAAAGUUGUCCCUGUGGUUCGGUCAUGCAAAACUUCUGCAGAAGCCUGGACACAUUUAGCAAAAAAUUAUGCCAAUCCUUCAUCCUCAAGAACCAUGGGGUUAACAGAACAACUCACCCUCAUUAGUCGAGGCUCACAACCAGUAGUCGAAUAUCUUGCUACUAUUAGCGACAUUGCAGAUGAAUUGGCUUUAAUUGGAGCACCUGUUCCAAAUCAAUACCUUAUUACUCACACUCUCAACGGCGUGGGUCCCGAAUUCAAGGAACUUGCAGCUGCCAUGCGGGCGAGCGAUACCAUGAUCAGCUUCGAUGAACUUCACGACAAACUUGUUGAAUAUGAAUCCUUUCUCAAACGAGAGGAACUUCGAUCUGCUGGAAAUCUUGGGAAUAUCACUGCCAAUGCUACCCGUUUCUCUUCCUCAAAAAAUGGUAAUCAAUUUGGCAAGAAAAACUUCCAAAACAACAAAGGAAGCCAGAGCCAACGACAACCCAAUUUUGGAAAUCAAGGCAGCACCCUUGGAAAUCAAGGUAAUAAUUUCAAUUCAAAUAAUUUUGGAAAUCCAAAUUCGGGCAAGAAUACCACUGUGAUUUGUCAAUUUUGUGAGAAACGGGGACACACUGCACGCCAAUGCAAUGCUGCAAAGAAAUUAUUUUUUACAGCCUCAGCACCUACUGCAAAUCCAACCACCACUUCCAAUAACAUGGCAUCUAAUUGGUUGUUGGAUUCCGGAGCAUCUCAUCAUGUCACUUCCGACAUUAGCAACCUAUCUCUUCAUCAACCAUAUGAAGGCCCUGAUGACAUUGUAAUCGGUGAUGGCACUGGUCUAAAUAUUACACAUGUUGGCAAGUCCACUCUUUCCACUCCAUCUUACUCAUUUUCACUUUCGAAUGUUUUGUGUCCCAUCUAUGAAGCAAAACUUAAUAUAUGUCUCACAUUUUUGUAAAACAAAUAAUGCAUCCAUUGAAUUUUAUCCCUCUUCCUUUUGUGUGAAGGAUCUAACCACGGGGGCACUACUCGCGGAGGGACGGAGCAAGAAUAAUGUCUAUGAGUGGUCUGCUGGAGAUGUCUCUACAAGUAUGAUGAAGCAAGCUUGCAUGAGUAUUAAAGCCUCUCUUAACCAUGAGUAUUAAUACCGCUCAGUUGCUUCAGCAGUAGCCGAACUUACAUGGAUUACAAAUCUUCUUAGUGAGCUACGUCUCCAACUCCCUCUGCCACCUCGUCUAUUAUGUGACAAUAUAGGUGCCACAUACUUGUGUGUCAAUCCGGUCUUUCAUUCACGGAUGAAGCAUCUCGCCCUCGACUAUUAUUUUGUGCGUGAAAAAGUUUCAGCUGGCUCUCUCCAAGUUGCUCAUGUCUCCACCAAUGAUCAACUAGCGGAUGUCCUUACAAAACCGUUAGCUAAGUCUCGUUUUGCCUUACUUCGAUCCAAGAUUGGUGUCACUGAUGGCACCAUCAUGCGGGGGCAUAAAAGGAUAGAAUCAAUCUCCUCCUUAAAUUAAGAUGAUUCACAUGAUUGUGCUUGACUUUAGGAGUAAUCUCUGCAAUUCCAUAGACUAAGGAAUCCUCUGUAACUUUCCUUUUUCAGCUUCAUGAACUUGUAUAUAUAAUUGCUUGGCUUUACAGUAAUUUAUUAAUCCUUUUCACAAUCUCUGUCUCUGACUUUAUAAUAUGCUUAGUAAGUAUGGACUAGUAUUAACCAUCUAUCCUAGAUUAUAAACAAAUAGUAUAGAUUUAUUUCAAAAUUGUCUUUAGUUUGACUUAGUUGCUGGUUUGUAGCGGUUACAUGUCCCCAGAAUAUGUUAUGCAUGGGCAAUUCUCUGUGAAAUCAGAUGUACAUAGUUUUGGUGUCCUAGUUCUGGAGAUUAUAACUAGCAAGAGAAACAGCAGUUUUUAUCAAACAAACGAUGCUGAAGAUCUUUUGAGCUUUGUAAGCGUAAACAAGAUAAUAUGUUGACACUUUCGCCUUUAUUAAUGCGAAUAUAAUCACACACGAGUUAAAAGUUACACAAAAUUUACGGACAUUUCGGUUAUGACUUGAUAAUAUAUAAUUUGCAGGGUUGAAAACAUUGGAGGGAUGGAACACCUUUGUAGUUGUUGGAUUCAAAUCUGGCAGAUUCAUACUGAAGAAAUGAAAUGAUCAGAUGCAUCCAUAUAAGCUUAUUGUGUAUCCAGGGAGAUCCAGCUGAGAGGCCAUCAAUGGUGACAAUAGUUCUCAUGCUCAAUAGUUACUCUGUCGCACUUCCAUUGGCUCAACAGCCUGCAUUUUUCAUUGCUAGUCGAACAGGGAGGAUCUUGUCGGCAAAAAGAAUUUGAGCGCUGUGAUAAAUCUACAAGCAAGCUAGUGGCAUGGGUUUGGUAGUAAAUGAUGAAACUUGAAAUAUAACUCAUCCUUUGAUAAUUACAAACUGUAAAAAUGUACGAUUGAUUAGUUUGAAACCGCGAUGUUAGUAUAUAAUUUAGUCAUGGGCUGGCCUGGUGUAGUAUGGCAAAAGACUGACAUGAUUUAUCACAAGUAAUUAUGAUGAAAAGGAGAUGUCCUUCCUUCGAAGUUAAUGUUCCUCUCUCUCUCUCUAAACCUGUCUCGCUGUUUACCCUGUAACCUUAAUGUCGACAAAAUUGAAACACAAUGCUAAAUGUUUGAAUUUUAUUUUUCUUCCUGAAAUUAACGAAUUUGGUUUACAAAAUAAUAAUCUCAAGCUCAUUUUCAAUACGAUAUUAUGAUUUAAUUCAAUAUUUUGAUUCUUGAGAAAAUUUUAUAAUACUUUUCUUUCAUAAUUCUGUUGAUAAAAUGUUUUGCGAACUGCAAGUCCACUUAGUUUUUAUUUGUACUUCUUAAAAUUUUAAGAUCAAUCAUUAUUCACUCUUAUUUUAUCUGCUUGAUAAAUUUUUUAAUAGAAUAUAAAUUAUAUUCUUUUACUUUUACUUUUUUUUUUUUUUGGUAUCGGGAUACAAGUUACUAUGUUGGAUAAUUUCAUAUAUCUUUUUUUAGUAGAGAUUUCUUAUAACUGUAUAAUUGAUGUUUAGUUUCCCUGAAAAAAUAAAAAUAAAUCUCAUAAUUAUUACAUUCACUAAAACUAAUUUUAGCACAAAAAAAAAAAAAAAAAAAUUCUUGCCUUCGCCUUGGUAGAAUUUAUCACGAUCUAAAUUCGAGAAUUUGAGGGGCAGAAACAAAAAAAAUUAUCGAAUGUAGAGAGGAAGCUUGCUUAUUAUUUGCGCAUGUUAGUUGGCAAUAGCUAAUUGGGCCAAUUGGGCUUUGCUAGGGUGGGCUUUAUGCUUUCCUUGAGUAAACUGAAAAUAGUGGAGCUUUUAACACUCCCAAAAAAUCCUUAUAUCACCCUUUUUGAUUUUAUUCUCUGAAAUAUUCCCAACUUAAUUUAUAAACUACUAUCGAUAAACUAAAAUCAAUAAUCUUUUCAUUCACUUCAUCUUGAAAAUAAUAUUUAAUUAUCCAAAAAUAUUCAUCCCUGUAUGAAAGUUUCUUGGGUACGUGAUCGCUAUAAAAACUCUCAGAGAGUUUUGUCCCCAUUUUCUUAACUAAUAUCAUGCUGAUCCUUUUGACUUUUUAUUAUUUAUAUUAUUUGCAUACAUCUCUGAAUAGUUAUGUGAAAAUCAGAAGACAGCUAACACCAGGUGGGCAGUUAGAACCUGAUAUGUUUCUUACCAUUUUUCCAUUUACCCUUAAGCAUACUUCCCGGAGGUUGUUUAAAUCCCGUAUGUGUAUGAGUGUGUGUGUGUGUGUGUGUGUUUGCAUUUGGAGCAGUGGAUACAAGGCUCUAGAGUAUGCUAUGGAAGGACUAUUCUCAGUGAAAUCUAAUGCUUUUAGCUUUGGUGUAAUGGUGCUUGAGAUUAUAAGUGGGAAAAGAAACAGUGGAUUCUAUCUUACAGGACAUGCUCAGACACUUCUUGCAUACGUACGUCUAACGUGGCUGCUAGCGAUGAAGUGAAAUUUUGCUUCAAAUUGAUAUUAUUAUGAUUAUUAUUAUUAUUAUUAAUGUCGGAUUAAUAAUUUCUUUUGAAUUGAAAUUAAUGGAAAAGAAAUGGAAUUUGUAGACCCUUUGUUUAUGGAAUCAUGUUCGACACCACAAGUGGUGAGAUGCAUACACAUAGGGCUGCUGCAUGUGCUGUGCAAGAAGAUCCGGCAGUAAGACCACACCAUGUCAAAUGUGGUGGCUCUUUUGGGAAGUGAAUCAAUAGCUCUUCCAGAACCAAGGCAACCUCCAUUUCCUGUGGGUAGAAUUGUUACCGCUGAUCAACCUUCAGCCAAAGAUCCUUCAGUGUGUGACCUCACCGUUUGUACUCUCUCACCGCGAUAACCGUUACAUUGUUUUUCAUUUUUUAUAUGGUUGACAAGUUCAUGCACAAGGCAAAUUGUAAAACGAAUAGAUUUGAUCCUUUCUUUGUUUCUUGUCUUGACAGUUUUUCAGCGUUUAAAAUGAAAAUCGCACGUGUUUAUUUGUCUUUUAAAGUAAUUUCAUCAGAAGAAAUAAUAUGCCUCAUAACCCAGUGGUCCUCAUUCCAUGUCUGGAAGUAGAUUUUUUUUAAAUUAAAAAAAAAAUGGAAGUAGUUUAUUCCUAAAUAUAGUAAUUUAAGUCGCGCUAUAAUAAAAAUGAUAUUGAUUUAUCUCAAUGGAUCUCUAAUUUUAUAAUAUUAUUGCACAACAAUACGUCGAUAAAUUAAUAGCAUUGGAACCAAGAAAAAGUUAUUAAUUAAGGGAAUAUUAACUAAUCAAAUUAUAGUUUAGCACAUUGACCCUAGGUCUCGAUUGGAAAAAAAUUAUUGUUUAAUCCAUGUUUUACUGUAAUUGUAAUUGAAAAAAAAAAAAAACACUCUACUCAUUUAGUGAUUGAGCAAAUUGAAUCUAGACUAUGCUUAGUAAAAAGGCCAAGCCGAUCCUGUCAUGUAUGGCCAGCCCUCCAUGUGAGGGCCCGAAUAUGGGCUUAAAUUUUAAGGUUUAUUUUGAGAGGACCUAGACAUCAACUUACGAAAAAAAUUAUGGGCUAGGCUUGGACCUUUUUUUAAUUAUUAAAUUUAUAAAUAUAUGUUAUAUUAAAAAAUGCAAUACAAAAAUAAACAAAAUACGUAAAUCCUUAAUUCCUAAUUCCUAAAUCAAAAUAUCACUUUUUUCGGGGAGAGUAUGUCUUUUUUUUAAAAAAAAAAAAUGCUGUGUCAUUUUAGUUUUGUUUUAUUUUGUUUAAUUAUUUUUUAAAAAAAAUCUUUGGAAGCCUAGAUCAGGCCUUGUUCCAUAAUGGGCCUGGCCCUGCUUUGGUCCAUCAGACUUAAACGGACCUAGCACGGACUUAGGCCAAUUCUCUCAAACAUGGACGGACCUGGCCCGACGAUUCACUUGCCACUGAUAACCUGGAUCUUAAUUAAAUAAAUCACCAUGUAAGCUCAGCCCAUAUACCCCAACAUAAUGGGCUGAUUAUAAAAUACUCUCCAAAAUCUGUUGAACUUGAAUUCCCCAAUCACUGUGAUUUAAAUCUCGUUUCCCGUAAAAUCAAUUAUCGAAGGCAACUGUUGCUUUUAAAUUUAAAAAUUAUAAUAAUCAACUUUUCAUCGUCGAAGGCAUGUGUACGGUAAUCGGACUGGAUAAAGGUAUCUCAAUUCAAUCUAGAAUGAAACCCUUGAUUUGGCUAACUUGGCUUCUGAGAAAUAUCAAACGAUGACUUUUUUAUACCCGACCAUCCUUCACUCUCUCUCUUUAUUUUGAAAAAAAAAAACAAUUGUAAUAAAAUUUUGUUACGCCUAUCUUGUGAAAAUCAAAAUUUAACCCCAACAUAAUUUUGAGCUAUUAAUAUUCUACAAUAAGUAGUGGACAAAAAUGAAUAAUAAUAUAUGUACAAUAAUUAAUACAACAAUUAGUACAACAUCCAUAAGAGAUCCAAAAAAUAUAUAUAUAUCUUAUAGUGAAAAUUUCUUUUGUCUUAUUGUUAAAUUUUUUUGUCCUGUAGUGAUGUUGUACUAAUUGUGGAAAGUACAUCAUUAUUGGGACAAAAUACUCUCUUCAUAUAUCUUCAAAAUUAGGAAAGACUGGGACUAUUUUAACUUAAAAAUUAAAAUUAAAAUUAAAAUUUUUAAGAAAAAACUAAGCAAUUAAUUUUACAUAAUCUAAUAAUACAUAUUAAAAAUCAAAAUAGUAUUUAAUGGUGAAUUUAUCAACUAUUUAAUCAUAUAAAAAUAAUGAAUUGAAAUUGAUUUAAAAAUUAAAAUAAUUUAACCCAUUAAAAAAAUAAUGUUGGGAAUUCCCAUAGUUGAGUCUAAAUAUCCAAGUAACAUGUGUCAUUCAUUUAUUAAAUCAUAAAUUUUAUAAUUAGUCAAAUUAAUAUUCUAUCGUUAGCAUUACUCAUUACAAAAUUCCACAUAGCCAUCGAAAUGCUCCAACUCCCAUAGAUUCAUGUGGAGGUGGCAAAAUGGGUAAAACACAAUUACAUGAUAUGGAUACAUCACAAUUUUUUCGUAUUCAUAUUGACAAAUAUUGACACAAUUAAUAAAUAAAUUAACACGACGCCACACGAUAAGAGAAGAUAAAUAAUUGUGUUGUAGACCACCUCAACACAAUUACAUGUUUCUAACAUGAAUAUCAAUUAAUAUGUUGUAAUAUUAUUAAAAAAAUAAUAUAUAUAUACCGAACACUAAAUUAUUAUUCGUAUUAUAUUUAUAUUGUGUUAUAAAUUUAUUUGUGUCAUAUUUAUGUCAUAUUAACUUUUUUAUAAAAUAUUUUUAAUAGUAAUAUUGACAUAUUUGUUAUUUUUAAUUUUUUUAUAUAAAAAAUGCUGAACGGAUAAAACACGAUUAACAUGAUUAAUAAAUAAUUUGUGUUUAUGUUUUAAUGUUUGAUGGUGUUAAUAAAUAUUAAAUAGAUCCUAUUAGUAAUUACUUAAAUUUUAACACCACAUAAUUACUUAGAACACCACACGAUUACUGGAAUUCACACCUCCACUUCUGUCUUAAUCAAUUUAAUUUAAUAUAUUUAAUUUAUACAAUGAAAAUGACAUCAUGUAACAUCUACCUUGUACCAGCCGUCACGCUCACGCAUCCACUUCUGUCUUAAUCAAUUUAAUUUAAUAUAUAUAUAUAUAUAUUUUCUCAUCUUAACCGUUCACAAAUUUUGACUGAGAUUUUCUGAUUAUUUUUUUCUCUCCAUGUGAUCAGAAUUCAGAAACAAAACAACUAUAUGUAGUUGGAAUGGGACCAUUUGUUGACUUUGUAUGCAGACUAGUGACAAGUCUACAUUGCCAACAGGGAAUAUUAUUGCAAGUGCUCUAAAAUGUAUGAUCACUCACACCCGGCCGCUGGAUGAAAAAUAUCUUUAAAAAUAUUUAAAAAUGAAUGAAAAUACAAAAUUCAAGUGAAACUCAAUAUAUAUAACCACUUAAUCACGUGGCGAUCGCUUUGAAAAGGUAUAAAAUUGAUUCAGAAAUUAUGAAAAUUGACGAAAUUACGUGCCGAAAGCCAAAUAAAACAAAAAAAAAAUUGAUACAAAUUUAACGGUAGAAAAUGAAUUACAAAAUUUGAAGAUUUAAAUCAAGCAAUCAAAAUCUCUCGCCAAGUCCGAAUUUCAGUCAUGUUCUCGCCAAAUUAAGAGAAAAUCAAAAUAAUUUAUGAAAAUUCAUUAAAAAGUGACUAAACACGAACUCACAAGAACGAGUCUCUUUUACAAGACAUCAAAGUCAAGGAAAGCUUUUAUCCGGAGGAUUUUGCUACCUUACAUUACAUGUAAGGUAGCAGCUCCCUUAUCCGGAUCAUUGAAAAGUUUUUUACAUAAAAUCUCACCACUGACAUAAAAAAAAACAAAAAAAGUACAAAACUAAAAACAAUAAAAUUAAAAAAGCAGAAGAAGAGAUUAUACUCCGUAGUUAAGUACGCAACAAAAUGCUGGGAAUUCAAAUGCCUCCCUCGAAAUUCUUCAUGUUGUUUCUGUUUGUGAUCUAUCUUUCAAUAAGCUUCCAAUCCAGUUUUACAGCUGCAGCUGACCCAACAUACGCUUAUCAUGUAUGCUCAGCAAAUUUCACCGGAAACAGCACCUAUCAAACUAACCGCAAUCUUCUGCUAUCUUCGCUUCCCACAAACGCCAGCCGAGGCAAUGGAUACUCCAGCGGUUUCUACAACGAAACCACCGGUCAAGACCCUAACAAGGUCUAUGGCCUCUUUCUCUGCCGCGGGGAUCAAACUGCCAGCAGCUGCCAAGACUGUGUCACUUUUGCCACCAGAGAUUUAGUUCAGCGUUGCCCAGAUGGCAAACAAACCAUAAUAUGGUACGAUCAGUGCCUUUUGCGUUAUUCAAAUCGGUCUAUCUUUUCAACCAUGGACACAGUGCCCUAUGUCUCUUUGUUGAAUACACAAAAUGUUACGGACCGAGGCAGAUUUAACCAGAUUUUGGCGUCUUUGAUGAGCCAAGUUGUAAAUCAGGCUGUGAAUAAUUCCAGAAAGUUCGCGACACGAACGGCAAAUUUCACAGCCUUACAAACACUUUACAGUCUCGCACAGUGUACCCCUGACCUGUCUAGUUCUGACUGUAACGUAUGUCUUCAAGCAGCUAUUGCAGAGUUGCCGAAUUGCUGUAGCGGAAAAACAGGAGCACAAGUCUUGAUUCCGAGUUGUAUUGUCCGGUAUGAAUUUUACCCGUUUUACAAUUUAUCAGCCACAUCGCCACCGCCACCUGCUCCGGUUCUUCUUCCUCCUCCACCCCCUGGUUCCGCUCGAGGUAAAAUUGAAGUUGAACCCCCAGUUUAUAUGGCCCUUUUUUAUUUUUUUAAAUUAUUUAAGUUAAUGCUUUAUC